AACGAACGCUGGCGGCAGGCCUAACACAUGCAAGUCGAGCGCCCUUUCGGGGGAGCGGCGGACGGGUGAGUAACGCGUGGGAAUAUGCCCUUCUCUACGGAAUAGCCUCGGGAAACUGAGAGUAAUACCGUAUACGCCCUUUGGGGGAAAGAUUUAUCGGGGAAGGAUUAGCCCGCGUUGGAUUAGGUAGUUGGUGGGGUAAUGGCCUACCAAGCCGACGAUCCAUAGCUGGUUUGAGAGGAUGAUCAGCCACACUGGGACUGAGACACGGCCCAGACUCCUACGGGAGGCAGCAGUGGGGAAUCUUAGACAAUGGGGGCAACCCUGAUCUAGCCAUGCCGCGUGAGUGAUGAAGGCCUUAGGGUUGUAAAGCUCUUUCAGCCGGGAAGAUAAUGACGGUACCAGCAGAAGAAGCCCCGGCUAACUCCGUG
rnacentral:rRNA from 1 species